CUCCCAUAUGGUCGACCUGCAGGCGGCCGCGAAUUCACUAGUGAUAGAGUUUGAUCAUGGCUCAGGACGAACGCUGGCGGCGUGCUUAACACAUGCAAGUCAUGGGGGUCCGCAAGGACAACCGGCGAACGGGUGCGUAACACGUGAGCGACCUGCCUGAGUGCGGGGGAUAGCCGGCCCAACGGCCGGGUAAUACCGCAUACGCUUUUUCGAGGGCAUCCUUGGGAAAGGAAACCUCCGGGGCACUCAGAGGGGCUCGCGGCCUAUCAGCUAGUUGGCGGGGUAAUGGCCCACCAAGGCGACGACGGGUAGCUGGUCUGAGAGGAUGGCCAGCCACAUUGGGACUGAGAGACGGCCCAGACUCCUACGGGAGGCAGCAGUGGGGAAUCUUGCGCAAUGGCCGAAAGGCUGACGCAGCGACGCCGCGUGUGGUAGGAAGCUCUUCGGGGUGUAAACCACUGUUGCCCGGGACGAAACUCUCCUUUCGAGGAGAUUGACGGUACCGGGUGAGGAAGCCCCGGCUAACUCUGUGCUAACAGCCGCGGUAACACGAAUCGAAUUCCCGCGGCCGCCAUGGC
rnacentral:rRNA from 1 species